rnacentral:sRNA from 1 species
CCCAUGGGUACAUGAAGGAUUCAAAGUGAAAAAGGAAAACGUGCAAAGAUAAGGUUAAAGUACUGUGGUGGCGUGUCGGAGUAAACAUCGAGCGACCAGCCAGUGAAAAUAAUCAGAGACAGCUCUGAUCAAAUAGCGAUGUAAUAUCCCGCUAUCGUAAGGUUUUUCUGAGUUAAAGGUGAUUGGAUCCUAGGACAAGGUACUCCUUCCUAUACAUUACUCGGUAGGUUUAACGUGACACUAAGUAUUAUCAAUCAUGCCUAGAGUCACUCCGCUGACGGUCAAAGUCUAAUUAUGUGUAUAUGAAUAUUUAAUGUGAAACAUUAUGUAAUAUCCCGCACCCUCGUUGGACACAAAUAAGACCUUAUUGAUCAAAUGAAUUAUAGUUUGAUGUGAA